CAUCGAUGAAGAGCCAGCGGAGGGAUCAUUACCGAGUAUCUACUCAUAACCCUUUGUGAACCAUAUUGUUGCUUCGGCGGCUCGUUCAGCGAGCCCGCCGGUCCAUCAGUCUCUCUGUUUAUACCAACGAUACUUCCGAGUGUUCUUAGCGAACUAUUAAAACUUUUAACAACGGAUCUCUUGGCUCUA
rnacentral:misc_RNA from 1 species